UACGUAGGGGGCAAGCGUUGUCCGGAUUUAUUGGGCGUAAAGAGCGUGUAGGCGGUUUGGUAGGUCCGCUGUGAAAACUCGAGCUCAACCUCGAGACGCCGGUGGAAACCAUCAGACUAGAGUCCGGAAGAGGAGAGUGGAAUUCCUGGUGUAGCGGUGAAAUGCGCAGAUAUCAGGAAGAACACCAGUGGCGAAGGCGGCCCGCUGGGCAGUGGCUGACGCUGAGGCGCGACAGCGUGGGGAGCAAACAGG
rnacentral:rRNA from 1 species